rnacentral:rRNA from 1 species
CAGCAGUAGCCACGGGAAUACAGAGGGUGCGAGCGUUAAUCGGAUUUACUGGGCGUAAAGCGUGCGUAGGCGGCUUUUUAAGUCGGAUGUGAAAUCCCUGAGCUUAACUUAGGAAUUGCAUUCGAUACUGGGAAGCUAGAGUAUGGGAGAGGAUGGUAGAAUUCCAGGUGUAGCGGUGAAAUGCGUAGAGAUCUGGAGGAAUACCGAUGGCGAAGGCAGCCAUCUGGCCUAAUACUGACGCUGAGGUACGAAAGCAUGGGGAGCAAACAGGAUUAGAUACCCCGGUAGUCCCUGUCUCUUAUAC